UACGUAGGGUGCGAGCGUUGUCCGGAAUUAUUGGGCGUAAAGAGCUCGUAGGCGGUUUGUCGCGUCGACUGUGAAAACCCGAGGCUUAACCUCGGGCCUGCAGUCGAUACGGGCAGACUAGAGUUCGGUAGGGGAGACUGGAAUUCCUGGUGUAGCGGUGGAAUGCGCAGAUAUCAGGAGGAACACCUAUGGCGAAGGCAGCUCGCUGGGACGGUACUGACGCUGAGGCACGAAGGCCAGGGGAGCAAACGGG
rnacentral:rRNA from 1 species